CCUUGCUUUAAGGGAAACUUACCUUUCCUGCUCUUCACUGACUUCUUGAUUCUCGUGGCUUUGGCUGCUAUUUUGCCUUGCUUUGCUUUGCUGUGCUAUGCAUUGCUUUCCCUGUAUUUCUUGCCAUCCACUCCUUCCUUCGAGUUAUUCUUUACUUUUUGACUUGGCUUUUUUCUUCUUUUCUCUUUACCUUUCUUCUCUUGUCAUUAUCGUUUUUCCUUUCGUUUUUUUCUUUCAUCUAUUGUUUUUUCUUUUCUUUUUUCUUUUUUCUUUUUUCAUAUUUUUCUGUCCUCUUUUUAUUUCUUUCUCUUUUUUCUUUUUUCUUUAUCUUUUUUCUUUUUUUAGCUUUUCUCUUUUUUCUCUUUUUUGUUCAUUUUCUUUUUUAUCUUUUUUUUUUUUUUUUUAUUUUUCUUUUUCUCUUUUUUGUUCAUUUUUUUCUUUUCUUUUUUCUCUUUUUUGUUCAUUUUUUUUUCUUUUCUCUUUUUUCUCUUUUUUGUUCAUUUUUUUUUCUUUUCUCUUUUUCUCUUUUUUGUUCAUUUUUUUUCUUUUCUCUUUUUUGUCUUUUUUGUUCAUUUUUUUCUUUUCUUUUUUUCUUUUUUUUUUUUUUUUUUUUUUUCUUUUUUUUUUUUUUCUUUUUUUUAUUUUUCUUUUCUUUUUUCUCUUAUUUCAUAUUUUUUGUCUUAUUUUUUCUUUUCUUUUUUCAUCAUUGGUUUGCCUUCAGCCCUCCCCUCAGCCCUUCCCUCCGCUCUGCUCUUCACCCAUCCCCUCCCCUCCCCAUCCCCUCUUUCUCCCUUACCCUCCCCUUUCCCCUUGCCUCUGCCUCCCAUUACCUUGCCUGCCCUUCACUUACCUUCUCCUCACUUCCUGCUUCUUGAUGCUAUGGGCUUUUGCUGCUACUCACGCCAAACCUCAGCACUUGCCUACUCUGCUUGCUGCUCUGCCAAGUUGCUCUCUACUCUGCUCACAGCUUCACGCCUACUGCCUGCCCUUCUCUGUCCCCUUCUCGUGCCCUUCAGGCUUUUCCUCCCCUUGCUGAGCAAGGCCAUGCCGGUAGCUACCCUUGAACCUCCUCCGCCCUUUGCCUUCCUCCACAGAGAUGCUUGCUUCUGGCCAGCACUCCUGCCCGGUGCCUAGCCCACACACCUCAUCUCUUGGGGAGAUAGCAGGUGGCCUGUAGCUACCCACACCUCCUCCCGGGCAUGGCUUCUCAGCUUUGCUUCAAGCCCAGAACCCAAAGGAGCUCCUCUUACCUUUUGGCCCACAUUCUUCUCCUCCCGCGCAGCUCCUGUGGCAAGCAGGGGCACAGCUCUGGCCAGAUUCCUCCAUUCCUGCAAGGUUGCUUUUUGUCAUUCUUUGCCGCCUUUUGCUUUGCUCUCUUUUGCUGUGCUAUGCCUAGCUUUCCUACUUGCUUGCUCUGUAUUUACAUGCAUUGCUUUUUACUUGUUAUUCUCUUUUUUUCCCCCGUUUCAUUAUUUUCCCUUCAACCCUCCCCCUUCCCUCACCCUACCUCCAAUUUUUCCUUCCUACCCUCUCUCCUCUCCCCCCCCAUCCACCCACGCCCCCACUUACUCACCCCCCUCACUCUCCCCCCUCUCCACCCUUCCUCCCUCCCCCCUCUUGCACCCCUCACCCCCCUCUAGCCCCACCGCUUUCCCCACUGCUCCUCCCCCUCUCCCCCCACUCCUUCCCCUCCCCUCCCCCUCCCCUCUCUUUUGCCCCCAUCCACUACCAUUCCCCCUUGCUUUAAGGGAAACUUACCUUUCCUGCUCUUCACUGACUUCUUGAUUCUCGUGGCUUUGGCUGCUAUUUUGCCUUGCUUUGCUUUGCUGUGCUAUGCAUUGCUUUCCCUGUAUUUCUUGCCAUCCACUCCUUCCUUCGAGUUAUUCUUUACUUUUUGACUUGGCUUUUUCUUCUUUCUCUUUACCUUUCUUCUCUUGUCAUUAUCCGUUUUUCCUUUCGUUUCUUCUUUUUUCAUCUGUUAUUUUUUUCUUUUCUUUUUUCUUUUUUUUUUUCAUAUUUUUCUGUCGUCUUUUUUAUUUCUAUUUUCUCUUUUUUCUUUUCUUUCUUUUUUCUUUUUUUAGCUUUUCUCUUUUUUCUCUUUUUUGUUCAUUUUUUUCUUUUCUCUUUUUUCUCUUUUUUGUUCAUUUUUUUUCUUUUCUCUUUUUUCUCUUUUUUUCAUUUUUUUCUUUUCUCUUUUUUCUUUUUUGUUCAUUUUUUCUUUUCUCUUUUUUCUUUUUUGUUCAUUUUUUUUUCUUUUCCUUUUUUCUCUUUUUUCUUAUUUUUCUUUUCUUUUUUCUCUUUUUUCAUAUUUUUUGUGCUUAUUUUUUCUUUUCUUUUUUCAUCAUUGGUUUGCCUUCAGCCCUCCCCUCAGCCCUUCCUCCGCUCUGCUCUUCACCCAUCCCCUCCCCUCCCCAUCCCCUCUUUCUCCCUUACCUCCCCUUUCCCCUUGCCUCUUGCCUCCCAUUACCUUGCCUGCCCUUCACUUACCUUCUCCUCACUUCCUGCUUCUUGAUGCUAUGGGCUUUUGCUGCUACUCACGCCAAACCUCAGCACUUGCCUACUCUGCUUGCUGCUCUGCCAAGUUGCUCUCUACUCUGCUCACAGCUUCACGCCUACUGCCUGCCCUUCUCUGUCCCCUUCUCGUGCCCUUCAGGCUUUCCUCCCCUUGCUGAGCAAGGCCAUGCCCGGUAGCUACCCUUGAACCUCCUCCGCCCUUUGCCUUCCUCCACAGAGAUGCUUGCUUCUGGCCAGCACUCCUGCCCGGUGCCUAGCCCACACACCUCAUCUCUUGGGGAGAUAGCAAGGUGGCCUGUAGCUACCCACACCUCCUCCCGGGCAUGGCUUCUCAGCUUUGCUUCAAGCCCAGAACCCAAAGGAGCUCCUCUUACCUUUUGGCCCACAUUCUUCUCCUCCCGCGCAGUCCUGUGGCAAGCAGGGGCACAGCUCUGGCCAGAUUCCUCCAUUCCUGCAAGGUUGCUUUUUGUCAUUCUUUGCCGCCUUUUGCUUUGCUCUCUUUUGCUGUGCUAUGCCUAGCUUUCCUACUUGCUUGCUCUGUAUUUACAUGCAUUGCUUUUUACUUGUUAUUCUCUUUUUUCCCCCGUUUCAUUAUUUUCCCUUCAACCCUCCCCCUUCCCUCACCCUACCUCCAAUUUUUUCCUUCCUACCCUCUCUCCUCUCCCCCCCAUCCACCCACGCCCCCACUUACUCACCCCCUCACUUCUCCCCCCUCUCCACCCUUCCUCCCUCCCCCCUCUUGCACCCCUCACCCCCCUCUAGCCCCACCGCUUUCCCCACUGCUCCUCCCCCUCUCCCCCCACUCCUUCCCCUCCCCUCCCCUCCCCUCUCUUUUGCCCCCAUCCACUACCAUUCCCCCUUGCUUUAAGGGAAACUUACCUUUCCUGCUCUUCACUGACUUCUUGAUUCUCGUGGCUUUGGCUGCUAUUUUGCCUUGCUUUGCUUUGCUGUGCUAUGCAUUGCUUUCCCUGUAUUUCUUGCCAUCCACUCCUUCCUUCGAGUUAUUCUUUACUUUUUGACUUGGCUUUUUCUUCUUUUCUCUUUACCUUUCUUCUCUUGUCAUUAUCGUUUUUCCUUUCGUUUUUUUUUUUUCAUCUAUUUUUUUUCUUUUCUUUUUUCUUUUUCUUUUUUUCAUAUUUUUCUGUUCUUUUUUUUCUAUUUUUUCUUCUUUUUUCUUUUUCUGUUUUCUUUAUUUCUCUUUUUCUUUUUUUCUUUUCUUUCUCUUUUUCUCUUUUUUGUUCAUUUUUUUUUCUCUUUUUCUCUUUUUUGUUCAUUUUUUCUUUUCUCUUUUUCUCUUUUUUUUCAUUUUUUUCUUUUUUUCUCUUUUUUUCAUUUUUCUUUUCUCUUUUUUCUCUUUUUUGUUCAUUUUUUCUUUCUCUUUUUCUUUUUUUGUUCAUUUUUUUCUUUCUCUUUUUUGUCUUUUUUGUUCAUUUUUUUCUUUUCUUUUUUCUCUUUUUCUUAUUUUUCUUUUCUUUUUUUCUCUUAUUUCAUAUUUUUUGUGCUUAUUUUUUCUUUUCUUUUUUCAUCAUUGGUU
rnacentral:lncRNA from 7 species